CUUCCACCUCCAGUGGCCCCUCUAGCGCCUUGAGGUGACAGCACAGCAGAGCAGAAGGAGAGCUGGGAUAAUAACAGAGAUUUACAGUUUCCAGCGCAAUUAACUGCACCAUCUGGAUGCCACACGUCCACCUGGGAGUGCAUGACGGUCCAGGACUCAAGCACCUUGUGUUCUGUGCCACGUUCCAGCCUUGUGAUCCCCAGCAAGUGGCUUUGCCUGUCUGAGGACCUGUCCUCUCAUCUGUGAAAUCAGGAGCAUCGUGGUACAGAUCAUGGCUGUCCUCACGAGGGCUGUUUUGAAGGCUAAAUUGGAUAAGAAGGAGAGGGCUAAUAACGAUGCCAAGUCGGCAUGGUGGACCUGACAUCUUCUGGAUGUUAGAAGCUUCGCCUUCAGGGGAUCCUCUGGCACACGUGGAAAGGGGGCCAGAGGAGAGAAGAAGGAACAUCAAUCCAUGACCGCCCCCCACGUUCUUUCCUUGGUUCUGUGGAGGCCAGGUGGCCAGAAUCCCAUGGCCAGCACAAGGCCACCACACAGGGGACCAGGCUGGCUGGGGAUGCGGGAGGGGUGCAGAGAGAAGAGCUGGAGGAGGUUUGAAGCAGUGGUUCCCCCUUCCUCACACACUGGCUCCCUACAUUCUCAUCUGGUCAGCCUGGACGCUGCAAGUCUGAGUCCACCCCAUACGAAAACAAAAGCGUUAUCAUUUCCAUUAGAGAAACCCCCAGAGACAUGAGCUGCUCUGCUUGCCUUCCCUCUUGGCCAGUGUGGCCAGGGCAGGGGCCAGGAAAAUGAAAGCUGUCCUGCCCAGGGGAGAGAGGUCCCAAAGUCCUUGGCCGGGGCCCUCUCCCGGGCCAUACCCUGGGGAGCAGCCCAGAGGGCCUGGCGCCCACUUACACCCCCCUGCCUGCAAGGAGCAGUGCCAGAUGGGGAGGCUCCGGCUCCUGGCCUCUGCCCCAGCUCCGCAGGCCCCGUGACCUGUCCUCCUGGGACCCCCUGGCCUGUCCAUCUGAGGUGACCCUUCCCCCUUCCCCGCAGAAACCCAGACCUCUGACCCUUAUUAAAAACAAACCAAACAAAAUCUGGAAAGAAAAAAACCCUCCACAAACAGCCUGGGAGAUGAUCGUGUGUCUGCCCAACACACACACACACACACACACACACACGCACACGCACACGCACACCCCAGCUUCAGACGUGCGCGGCUGCAGCCAGGCUUUCACGUAAACAAGUUGCUGGAAAGUGCUUUUGUUUAUGAAACAUUUAGGUUUCCCUCAACU